UACGUAGGGCGCAAGCGUUAUCCGGAAUUAUUGGGCGUAAAGAGCUCGUAGGCGGUUUGUCGCGUCUGCCGUGAAAGUCCGGGGGCUCAACUCCCGGAUCUGCGGGUGGGUACGGGCAGACUAGAGUGUGGUAGGGGAGACUGGAAGUUCCUGGUGUAGCGGUGAAAUGCGCAGAUAUCAGGAGGAACACCGAUGGCGAAAGCGGCUCACUGGACCACAACGUGACCGCUGGAGGCGACGAAAGCUAGGGGAGCAAACAGG
rnacentral:rRNA from 1 species